GACGAACGCUGGCGGCGUGCUUAACACAUGCAAGUCGAACGGAAAGGCCCUGCUUUUGUGGGGUUCUCGAUUGGCGAACGGGUGAGUAACACGUGAGUAACCUGCCCUUGACUUUGGGAUAACUUCAGGAAACUGGGGCUAAUACCGGAUAGAAGCUCCUGCUGCAUGUUGGGGGUUGGUAAGUUUCGGCGGUUGUGGAUGUACUCGCGGCUUAUCAGCUUGUUGGUGGGGUAGUUGCUUACCAAGGCUUUGACGGUUAGCCGGCCUGAGAGGGUGACCGGCCACAUUGGGACUGAGAUACGGACCAGACUCCUACGGGCGGCAGCAGUGGGGAAUAUUGCACAAUGGGCGGAAGCCUGAUGCAGAAACGCCGCGUGCGGGAUGACGGCCUUCGGGUUGUAAACAGCUUUCGACUGUGACGAAGAGUGAGUGACGGUAAUGGGUAAAGAAGCACCGGCUAACUACGUG
rnacentral:rRNA from 1 species